UCUGUUGAGUUUUUGGCUAAAGCCAAUAAAAAGAAAAAUAAGUUAACAAAGAUGUCUCUUACAAAAUUCCUAUUAUACAUCUAUUUAUAAAAAAGAAUGACACAAAGAAAAGACCUUCAAAUUGCUAAAGCUUUCCAAUGUGUAUUGCUGCCACUGCCAGGUCUUUUUUUUUUUUUUGUCUAAGAUAAGAACGUUUGUUUGGUUUGUUUUGUUUUUUUUGAGAACUCUUUGUUUCCAUAUGUUUAGUUUCAUUAAUUUUUGUUCUUUGAAAUAUUAUAUUAUAUAAUUUAUAUUUAGUUUCCUAUAUAAUCUCAAAGAAGUUUGGUUCUGUCAUGAUUAAUGAUUACAUCUACUUCCUUCUAGAACACUAACGGUUUUGGAUUUUUUUUUUUAUAUAUAAAAAAAUGUAAAUAUAUAGACUAAAAAAUCAUAUUUUUGCGCCCCCCACAGUUUUGGGCCUUGGUAGCCCUGGGCCAAGGCCGACUCUGAUGAUUCACCCCAAUGACCCAUCAUUGUAAUUAUAAAAUAUUAGUGAAUAGUGUAAUCCAUAUGCCUAUAAAUACAAAGCAUCAAGUAUGAAUGAAAUAUAAUAGAAGAGAAGAAGGUCACGGUUAAGCUCUUGAGAAUUGUUGUUCUACAAUUAUUUUCUAUUCCUCUAAAUUCUCUUCACAAUCCCCUAGUUUUAUAAUAUGUGUUUACACCAUAAUGAACCGAGCAGACCCAGCAUCAAAGCGACUAGCACCAAGGCAGCCACGCCUUCUCCCAUGCCGAAGGAAGACACACUUCCGAGGUGCCAGACACCUGCCGAAGCUCUCAGCUGCCAAACCUAAUCUCCAGGACACGUGUCGCCACCACAACGGCUUGCACAAAGUCCCACAUUGGAACUUUGUGCAAAGCUCCCACUUUCACUUCCCUAUAAAUAGGGAACAGUACCAAGGUACGAAAAAACGACUACUCUCCCACUUUUACUGUUACUCUGCCAGAAUUACUACUUGUAACUGACUUAGGCAUCGGAGAGCCUUCGGCCGGCACCACACCGGUGUCCGAAGCUUAACGAUUGCUUCUCCUCUUUUUACCUUCUACAGGUCUCUCCCCAACCCAUUUCACCAAGGGCCUCAGCCCUCUUCUCUGCUGAAGACUCAGCACAUCUAAUCACUAAGUUGGACUCAAUAUUGGCCGGGCCAUUUUGAGCAUCAACAGUUUGGCGCCGUCUGUGGGAACUCGACACUUGAAUCCCCUCUUUCUCUAUCAGCCCAGCUGGCUCCUUCACCCCUCAGGCCCCGUCGCCUCUUCUUCACCCCACAUUCUGCUAUGCCGACCGAGGAUAGCCGCGACACCCAGCACCAUACCCCCCGCGAUGGUACUUCUAG
rnacentral:lncRNA from 1 species